rnacentral:ncRNA from 1 species
CGGGGGAAAACGCAGGCUCCCCGCUAGACGGCCCGCCGUCCAAGCUCUGC